AGUCGACCACAUGGUCGAUUGAACGCUGGCGGACGGCUUUACACAUGCAAGUCGAACGGCAGCACGGACUUCUCCUGGUCUGGUGGCGAGUGGCGAACGGGUGAGUAAUGUAUCGAACGUGCCCAGCAGUAGAUAACUACGCGAAAGCGGUAGCUGACGGUCGCGCAUGUCUCUGUGGCGUUGGGGACCUCGGGCCUCGCACUAUUAGAGCGGCCGAUAUCGGAUUAGCUAGCGUUGGUGGGGUAACGGCUCACCAAGGCGACGAUCCGUAGCUGUUUCGAGGAGAGGACCACCAGCUGGCCACCUGGGCCUGAGACACGGCCCAGACUGAUGGGAGGCAGCAGUGGGAAUUUUUGGACAAUGGGGGAAACCUGAUCCAGCCAUCCCGCGUGUGCGAUGAAGUGCCUUCGGGCAAAGCACUUUGCAGAGAAACGGUACUCGAGCACAAUACCCCGUGCAACUGAUUAAACAAGAAGAAGGUCUUGCCAACUGCACAGCAGCUGCACGCUGCAGGCAAGCGUUAAUCGGAAUUACUGGGCGUAAAGCGCGCAGGCGGUUCGGAAAGAAAGACGUGAAAUCCCAGAGCUAAUCUCAACUGCAUUUAACUACCGAGCUAGAGUGUGUCAGAGGGAGGUGGAAUUCCGCGUGUAGCAGUAAAUGCGUAUAUGCGGAGGAACACCGAUGGCGAAGGCAGCCUCCUGGGGAUAACACUGACGCUCAUGCACGAAAGCGUGGGGAGCAAAACAGAUAGAUAUUCCAGUAGUCCACGCUUCUAAACGACGUCAAUCUAGCUGUUGGGGCCUUCGGGCCUUUUCGGUGACAGCUAACGCGAAGUUGACCGCCUGGGGAGUACGGUCGCAAGAUUAAAACUCAAAGGAAUUGACGGGACCCGCACAAGCGGUGGAUGAUAGGAUUAAUUCGAUGCAACGCGAAAAACCUAUCACCUGACAUGUCUGAAUCCCGAAGAGAUUUGGAGCCGCAAGAGAACCGAACACAGGUACUGCAUUGCCGUCAGCUCGUGUCGAGAUGUUGGGUUAAGUCCCGCAACGAGCGCAACUCUUUGUCAUUAGUUGCUACGAAAGGCACUCUAAUGAGACUGGCCGGUGACAACCGAGAAGGUGGAUAUUGCUAAGUCCAUGCACCUUGGUGGGCUUCACACGUCAUACAAUGGUCGGGACAGAGGGUCGCCAACUCCGCGAGGUGGGGAGCCAAUCCCAGAAACCCGAUCGUAGUCCGAUCGCAGUCUGCAACUCGACUGCGUGAAGUCGGAACUGCCAGUAACGAUCAAAGACAACAGCAGAAUACGUUCCUGGUCUUAGAGGCACGCCUGUCGCCAUCAUGUAAGUGGGUUUUAAAUGGUAGCAGUUAGCUCUUCAAUCAAGGAGGGCGAUUACCACGGUAGGAUUCAUGACUGGGGUGAAGUCGUAACAAGGUAA
rnacentral:rRNA from 1 species